rnacentral:rRNA from 1 species
AUACGGAAGGUCCGGGCGUUAUCCGGAUUUAUUGGGUUUAAAGGGAGCGCAGGCGGAGAUGCAAGCGUGACGUCAAAUUUCGGGGCUCAACCCCGUCUCGCGUCGCGAACUGCGUCCCUUGGUUGCGGGAAGGGGAGGCGGAACUCGUGGUGUAGCGGUGAAAUGCAUAGAUAUCACGAAGAACUCCGAUCGCGAAGGCAGCCUUCCGGCCCGUCAACGACGCUCAUGCUCGAAGGUGCGGUUAUCAAACAGGAUUAGAUACCCUGGUAGUCCGCACAGUAAACGAUGGACACCCGCGGUUUGGCCUGUAUGGCUGAGCCGCCAAGCGAAAGCGUUGAGUGUCCCACCUGGGGAGUACGCCGGCAACGGUGAAACUUAAAGGAAUUGACGGGG